GUUGGUUCUGACAAGGCAAAGAAAAUGGAAAGAGAUGUUUAAGCGGCCAACGAGAUAAAACAGAAAUGAAAACACAAGCUGCGUAGAAACCCUCCACCCCCCUGCUGGGCUUCCGUAGGAUUCGGACAGCAGUGUCCCUUUCUGUGGCUCAGAAACGCUGCGAUGCCAUUUGUAAUCAUGGAUCAAGAACUGGGGAAUAUGAACUGGCUUUCGCCGUCCGACUUUCGUCUGUGGAUCAACCCGGUCAGGUAGAUCUCGGCAUCACCGUUACCUGCCAAGUCACACCAGCUAGUGGCAGAGCCAGAAGCAUCUACUGAUCUGUAAUCCAGCCGCAAAUGGUAGUGUCUGUGACUCAUUGACAAAGUAAUCUUAAUUAAAUUCUCUGUUAUCAACAUGUUCCAAGGCCCACUGCUUUGUUUCCACACUCAGACGUGGGAACGGUCCAGAUGUCUGUGUGUUCUAUUCUCCAUCAAAAUGUUUCCAUAUGCCAGACAUGACUUCUGAGUUACAGUCUGUGGAUCCUCGAGACGUCAAUCAGACUUUCUAAGUGACUAGGCCAGAGGAGGAAGUGAGAGAAGACAUACUGACCAGCUUUAUGCCCUGCCUGCAUUUGAUUUCUGCCCUAAAUGGCAAGGCAAACUCUGUCACUUGCUAAGAAUUCUGCCAGGGCAAAGGCUUCGUCCAUUCCUGCCCCAAACCCAUCCUUACUUGUGCAGUCCUCCUGAGAAAUGUGAUUGUUGAUACUGAUGUCAUCCACAGCGAUCCCACCAAGGUUUCCUUUCCCGAU